GUGUGGCAGUGACGCGGGCGGAAGUCGUCGCUCCGUGUCAGCAGAUAGGAAAUGGAGAGUGAAGGGGCCUCAUCGAUAGAUUAGCGGCGGUGAGAGUGAUCGAUUACUCUGUUGAUGGUGGACCGAUGCUGGUGAACGGAACCCAUGGAGCCCCAUGAGGAGAAACCCAUCAUCUACACGAUGGAGAACAAACCCAUAGUGACCUGUGCGGGCGAUCAGAACCUGCUCACAGCUCUGUACGGAUCACUGACCCAGCAGCUGCCCAGAGAGCCCAUGGAGUGGAGGAGGUCUUACGGACGAGCACCAAAGAUGAUCUAUCUGGAGGCUAAUUUUGUCCAGUUUAAGGAGGAACUGCUUCCUAAAGAGGGAAAUAAAGCGCUGCUGACGUUCCCCUUCCUGCACAUCUACUGGACCGACUGCUGCGUGAGUCUCACGUGAAACGCCCCGCACUCUUCUGUCUUUAAGACGGUUCUUUUGUCAUCCAGCAUCAGAGUCUGAUAGCUGCUGUCCUUCUGAUGCAGAGCUAGAGUUUACAGCUGCUAAAUGCAUAAAGUGUCCAACAUCCAGUACUUGUUUUUUUGGUUUAAUCAGUGCAGUAACCCUUUCAUUUUAAGUGCACUUGUUUUUGUUGGACUUUUCAGUGUGAGCACACAUUUAUACUACAGAGUGUCAUAGAAUAGUGCACUUAUGGCGGAAAAUAAGUUGCGCUGGGUCAGAACUGCAUUGUUGAGAGAAAAAGCACAGAUAAAUUGCAUCAGUG